AGGAAUGUAGCUCAGAAGUAGAGCACUUGGUUUGUAACCAAGGGGGCGUUGGUGCAAAUCCAACCAUUCCUUUA
rnacentral:tRNA from 1 species